GAAAGGAGAGAAGGGCGCAUGAAGGAUGCCUAGGCUCUCGGAGGCGACGAAGGACGUGACAAGCUGCGAUAAGCCGCGCGUAGGGGCAAAUACCCGUUGAUGCGCGGAUUUCCGAAUGGGGCAACCCGCCGGGCGCGAGCCCGGCACCUGGCCGAGCCAGGGGCGAACCCGGGGAACUGAAACAUCUAAGUACCCGGAGGAAGAGAAAACAAACCAGUGAUUGCGCAAGUAGCGGCGAGCGAACGCGCAGGAGCCCAAACCGGGGGCGUCGCAAGGCGCCGUCCGGGGUUGUAGGACCGACGACAAAGCGUAGCGUGAAGGUUAGCCGAACCGUCUGGAAAGGCGGGCCGUAGCGGGUGAAAGCCCCAUAGGCGAAAACCGGGCAGCGCGCGAGUCGGCACCUGAGUAAGCCGGGACACGAGGAAUCCUGGCCGAAUCCGCGGGGACCAUCCCGUAAGGCUAAACACUACCGAGAGACCGAUAGCGAACCAGUACCGUGAGGGAAAGGUGAAAAGAACCCCGAACAGGGGAGUGAAACAGACCCUGAAAUCAUGCGCCUACAAGCGGUCGGAGCCACUAUGUGUGGUGACGGCGUGCCUUUUGCAUAAUGAUCCUACGAGUUGCCGUUGCCGGCGAGGCUAAGCGCGACGACGCGCGGAGCCGGAGCGAAAGCGAGUCCGAAGAGGGCGUUUUCAGUCGGCAGUGGCAGACGCGAAACCAGGUGAUCUACCCUUGGGCAGGCUGAAGGUGGGGUAACACCCACUGGAGGGCCGAACCGGUAAGCGUUGAAAAGCUUUCGGAUGACCUGAGGGUAGGAGUGAAAGGCCAAUCAAACUUGGAGAUAGCUCGUACUCCCCGAAAUGCAUUUAGGUGCAGCCUCGGAAGGAGUGUCGCGGAGGUAGAGCGACUGAUAGGAUGCGAGGGCUUCACCGCCUAUCAAGUCCUGACAAACUCCGAAUGCCGCGACAUGUUCUCCGGGAGUGAGGGCGCGGGUGCUAAGGUCCGCGUCCGAGAGAGGAACAACUCAGACCACCGGCUAAGGCCCCCAAAUACGGGCUAAGUUGAAGACAAUAACGAGGUGGGAUUGCAUAGACAGCUAGGAUGUUGGCUUGGAAGCAGCCAUUCAUUUGAAGAGUGCGUAACAGCUCACUAGUCGAGUGAUCCCGCGUGGAUAAUAAUCGGGCAUAAGUCCGCUGCCGAAGCCGUGGAAUCCGAUCAUAUUGAUCGGAUUGGUAGGGGAGCAUUCCGCAAGCCGCAGAAGGCGUGUCGCGAGGCAUGCUGGAGGUACCGGAAAAGCAAAUGUAGGUAUAAGUAACGACAAGCAGGGCGAGAAACCCUGCCGCCGCAAGACCAAGGGUUCCUGAUCAACGCUAAUCGGAUCAGGGUAAGUCGGGACCUAAGGGGCAGCCGCAAGGCGCACCCGAUGGACAAACGGUAAAUAUUCCGUUACCCGUGUAUGGAGCGAAGUGGCGACGGAGGAGUGACACAUCCGCGUGCUGACGGAAUAGCACGUUGAACCGCGUAGGUAUACUUAGGGCAGGCAAAUCCACCUUUCGUGCUGAAACGGGAUAGUACGGAGCGCCCCCGGGCAAUCCGAUAGCGAUGGUAACCAUACUCCCGAGAAAACCCGCUAAGCAUAUCCAUGCAAGGCCCGUACCCUAAACCGACACAGGUGGUCAAGUAGAGAAUACUGAGGCGCUCGAGAGAUUCACGGUUAAGGAACUAGGCAAACUGACCCCGUAACUUAGGGAUAAGGGGUCCCACCCUCCGGGGUGGGCGCAGAGAAUAGGUCCAGGCAACUGUUUAACAAAAACACAGGGCUGUGCAAAAUUUAAAGAUGAAGUAUACAGCCUGACACCUGCCCGGUGCCGGAAGGUUAAGAGGAGGCGUCAUCGCAAGAGAAGCGCUGAAUUGAAGCCCCGGUAAACGGCGGCCGUAACUAUAACGGUCCUAAGGUAGCGAAAUUCCUUGUCGGGU
rnacentral:rRNA from 1 species